rnacentral:pre_miRNA from 1 species
GACGGCAAAGAACUGGCUGAUGGCGAAGAAGGAUUUUGCCAUCAGCCAGUUCUUUGCCGUC